rnacentral:rRNA from 1 species
AGAGUUUGAUCCUGGCUCAGAAUCAACGCUGGCGGCGCGCUUAACACAUGCAAGUCGAACGAGAAAGGGGAGCAAUCCCUGAGUACAGUGGCGUACGGGUGAGUAACACGUGGAUGACCUACCCUCUGGUGGGGAAUAACCCUGGGAAACCGGGGCUAAUACCGCAUAAGUCCGGGAGGAGAAAGGCGCAAGUCGCCGGAGGAGGGGUCCGCGGCCGAUUAGCUUGUUGGUGGGGUAACGGCCUACCAAGGCGAAGAUCGGUAGCCGGCCUGAGAGGGCACACGGCCACACUGGCACUGAAACACGGGCCAGACUCCUACGGGAGGCAGCAGUGGGGAAUCUUGCACAAUGGGGGAAACCCUGAUGCAGCGACGCCGCGUGAGCGAUGAAGCCCUUCGGGGUGUAAAGCUCUUUCGACGGGAACGAUAAUGACGGUACCCGGAGAAGAAGCUGCGGCUAACUACGUGCCAGCAGCCGCGGUAAUACGUAGGCAGCGAGCGUUGUUCGGAGUUACUGGGCGUAAUGAGUAUGUAGGCGGUUGCGCAAGUUUGGUGUGAAAUCUCCCGGCUUAACCGGGAGGGUGCGCCGAAAACUGCGCGGCUAGAGUGCGGGAGAGGAGAGCGGAAUUCCUGGUGUAGCGGUGAAAUGCGUAGAUAUCAGGAGGAACACCGGCGGUGUAGACGGCUCUCUGGACCGCGACUGACGCUGAGAUACGAAAGCGUGGGGAGCAAACAGGAUUAGAUACCCUGGUAGUCCACGCCCUAAACGAUGCAGACUUGGUGUGGGCAGUUCAUUCUGUCCGUGCCGGAGCUAACGCGUUAAGUCUGCCGCCUGGGGAGUACGGCCGCAAGGCUGAAACUCAAAUGAAUUGACGG